rfam:Ictidomys tridecemlineatus contig015509, whole genome shotgun sequence.
GGGGAUGUGGCUCAAGCGGUAGCGCGCUCGCCUGGUAAGCGUGCGGCCCGGGUUCGAUCCCCAGCACCA